GAUGAACGCUGGCGGCGUGCCUAAUACAUGCAAGUCGAGCGAACAGACGAGGAGCUUGCUCCUCUGACGUUAGCGGCGGACGGGUGAGUAACGCGUGGAUAACCUACCUAUAAGACUGGGAUAACUUCGGGAAACCGGAGCUAAUACCGGAUAAUAUAUUGAACCGCAUGGUUCAAUAGUGAAAGACGGUUUUGCUGUCACUUAUAGAUGGAUCCGCGCCGCAUUAGCUAGUUGGUAAGGUAACGGCUUACCAAGGCAACGAUGCGUAGCCGACCUGAGAGGGUGAUCGGCCACACUGGAACUGAGACACGGUCCAGACUCCUACGGGAGGCAGCAGUAGGGAAUCUUACGCAAUGGGCGAAAGCCUGACGGAGCAACGCCGCGUGAGUGAUGAAGGUCUUCGGAUCGUAAAACUCUGUUAUUAGGGAAGAACAAAUGUGUAAGUAACUAUGCACGUCUUGACGGUACCUAAUCAGAAAGCCACGGCUAACUACGUG
rnacentral:rRNA from 1 species